GACGAAGUACACAAGUUGAGUACUUGAGUAAAAAUACAGAUACGUAUAAUAAAAUAUUACUCCAGUAAAAGUAUAAGUGCUCCUCUUUCAAUUUUACUCGAGUGAAAGUACAAAAGUACCCGAUUUUUAUGUACUUAAGUAAAAAAGUACUGAUAGAUUUAUUUUGCAAUUUUAUAUAGGCUACUUAAUUGAAUUUUAUAUUGGCACAUAUUUUUUUAUAAUACCACUGCUCAAAAUACCUGGGAUUUUCCCCAAACAAUACAUUUUUGUUGUUGAUAUGGACUAUGUUGACGAGAGUGAUAUAGUAAUAUUCAAUGUGAAGCUUACACUGCAAUGUACCUGAGAGAAAACAGAUUUGACCAUCAUAGUUUUACCAGUAAGAAAAAAGUGUUUUAAAGCUUGUUUUGCAUAACGUGAGGCCUGAAGUUAGCAAGAACAUUUUAAGGACAUUUUAAGGAAAAUAUAAUUAUGUUUACAUAAUGAUAUUUUCCUUUCAAAUAUUGUCUGUGUAAAAACACCUCUGGCCAAAUGUUCCCAGAGAGCAUCACUUUCCACUUUGAUAAUUACUGUAGUUACCAUGACCUGAACAUCACAUUCUUUCUUUUUCCCUCGGAUGUAAUCUAUCUAGGUGGUUGAAUAAAAUUAUGUGGACUUUCUAUCUAAAAAUUAUCUCAACUUAGCACCAGCAAGCAGCUAGACAGUUAGCAUCAGCUAACAGUAUUUACUUAAUUAUUUUCAGUAUGGUUGAAUAAACAUUCAUAUCUGUCUACUCUAGCUGAUCCAAACAAUAUAAAAAUUUAUACUGUUGCUAAACAAUAUAAAAACAGACGUCACGUAGGGCUACAUGCGUAGCAUUUUAAUAAAACUGCUAACGUUACAUCAGCGAGGAAUAUGAACGUGCAGGAGUUAUUUUAUUUAAGCUGUUAUUUAAAAUUUUCGUUUUUGAUGUGUCUGAAUUCAAACAUUUCAGUGCGCUUAAACAGACAACUUUUUACAGCAUAUGUAAUUCACAAACAACGGACAGCUUUGACCUAAAUGUGAUUUUCAGUUAUAAUAAUUAAUCUGAAAAUUCGACAUUAGUAACUUACUUUUCUCAGCAUCGGUCACGCACGCACAAGAUCUCCCGGUUCUUACUUGUGAAUUCAGUUGACUGGAGACUCGCUCUAAACGGAUCAUUUGAAUCAAUGAGUUGUCGACUCGAGAACAGCUGCAAUCGGAUCAUUCCAGUUCGUGAAUGAAUCGUUUGGUGCGAUUGGCGAUUCAAUUUAACAGGUUCACUGAAAAGAAUCGGUUUGUUCAUGAAUCAGACACCGCUUGUGCGUCUCAGAGCACGUGAUAUAUUAUAAGGAGUAACGAUAUGUUUAUGAAAUGCAGUGAAGUAAAAAGUAUGAUCUUACGCUUUGGAAUGUAGUGAAGUAAAAGUGAAAGUUACUCAAAAUAAAACUACUCCAGUAAAGUACAGAUACUUAAAAAAUGUACUUAAGUACACAACAAAAUCUCCAGUGUUAAAAUCCUGGUGUUAAGGACUUUUAGAGUAAAGAGUUAAACUUGUGGUGUUGAAUUUGAGAGGAUUAACACUAGCUAGUGUAAACAGCGCCCUCUGGCCGGUGUAAAUACGCAGAGUUACCCUUAUUAACACUGUUGAGUGUUAUCAGUCACAUCCGGGACAUUUGCUCGUGUGCGCGCCUCACCCAUCUGAAAUAUUUUUUACAGACGCCAUUUUCUUUGCUCGCGAUGCGGAGCAUAAUGAGGACGGGAAACAGCGAAAUACAGCGUUUAAUCUUAAUUACAAAAUGUAAUGUAAUGUCAUAUCGUUUAAUAACGAUAUUUAUGUGCUGUAUGUGGCUAAAAUUUUCUCUGAGACAUGUUUAUCCACUCGCGAUGUGGAACAGACCAGAGUCCUGUGUACUCCUAAACUUUUUCUCAGAGAGAUAUUUUCUUUCACUCACGAUACAGAGGAGACCAGUUUUAUCAAGGAAAACACCGAAAAUUUGAAUUGCAAUACGGAGCUGAUGCAGAUGAGCCGCUUUUAAUAGGGAAACUUAAGGGAGAUAUUUUCUUUCACUCACAAUGCGGAGCAGACGGGGAAGUUGGUUUUAUCAAGGAAACACCUAAAAUUUGAAUUGUUAUGCAGGGCAGACGCAGAGGUCACUUUAUCAGGAACAUAGAGAUAUUCUUUCACUCUGGAGAUGAUGUGCUUGAAGAGUAUGAAGUCACCAUUACAUUAAGUGGGAUGAGAAGAGCUCUGUUAGGACACAUACCAGAAACAAGGGAGGAGUCCAACCUCAAUGCAGAGAGAGAUCAGUACGCACUUGGAAUUAUGACUUUGUUUCUGUUGUUAAAAGACUAAUUUUCCAGUAAGACUGACUUUCUUUUUACAAUAUAUAUACAUACAUUUACAGUGAAUUAAAUGAUUUUCCUUAAAAGAGUAAGUCACCCAAAAAUGAAAAUCGAGUCAACAUUUACUUAGCCUUGGCCUUGUGUUGCUCUAAUGCCAUAUGCCUUUUUUUCUUUUUUGGACCACAAAAGGAGAUUAAAAAAAUGCCCUGAACAAAGUUAUCCAUAUAAUGUCAGUAUAUGUCUUCUGUAGAUUAUUCAAAAUAUUUUUUUGUUCUUCUUAAAAGACCGAAGGUCCAAAAUGAUGACAAAUUUUUCAGUUUUGGGUAAACUAUUUUGAAUUGUAUUUUAUUGUAUUGUCUAGAUUUAAACUGACAGUCUGCCCCCCGAACAGUAGGAGGUAGAUUAUUCCAGAGUUUGGGAGCUAAAUAGGAAAAGGAUCUGCCACCCGCAGUUGAUUUUGAUAUUCUGGGUAUUAUUGACUCUGGCCUUGAAUAAAAAUCUACAUUAAAGACCCAUCUCUUUAACCUGGCUUAUAUGUAAUGCACUUACACAUUUAUUUAAUUCAAAUCGGUUAAAGCAUUGUUAGGCUGCAUUAAUUAGGUCAGCCAAAACUGGGAACACGUCCCUUAACACAUGAUGUACUUGUUACAUUGUAAGAAAGAAUGGCAUCUACGCUAAUAUUAGUCUGUUUUGUUCUUAUUUCGAGGUCACUGUAGCCACCCAGAUCCAGACUGAAUCCAGAUCAGAUGGUCACUGCAGUUCCCUGGAUCCAGUCCGUAUCCAGUCCAGAUGGUGGAUCAGUACCUAGAGAUGACCUCUACAGCCCUGAACGUCAGCGGAGACCAUGACAACUACAUGAGCCCCAGAGACAGAUCCCCUGCGAACACCUCGUCAACACACCCAUUGGCACAAGACCUCUGCUCAAUCUGACUUUGUUGCAGCCUAGAUUUCGACACACUAUUUCCCUGUUUAAUACUGUAAAGCUGCACUGAUACAAUCUGCAUUGUAAAAAAUGGAUGUAAAAUUAUCCUGUUUGUUAUUUAGUUUUCUAAUUUUACAGGAGCACUUUUGAAAUGCUCCAAGUGGGAGUGAAUAUCUUGCUUGGCUGAAAACAGCAGAGAAACACAUCUUGUCAUGCUGAAAACAAAGCAAAGACUGUUGUUAAAGCUGAUAAAUGUAAGCAUUAUAAACCUUAAAACAUUAAGAGCACGUAUGGACCAAAUAAGAAUUUGUAUUUUGUGCCUUUGCUUUGAUUUGCCUUGACAUUAUGAUGUUUUAGAUGUUGUGAGAACAUGUAAAAAACAUGUAUUGAAAACACUAAAUGUGUUUCAAUUAAAAAAAAUUAAUUAAUGUAAACGUAUUGUUUUGUGGGUUUAUUUUUUAAUAUUUUCACCUGAACACUGGUAUUGUGUUGACCAGUUACUCCAUGAGUGCUAAAUUUGAACACCAACUUUGGUGUUUUCAUCAUCCAUUCUGGUGUUAAUAUUUUACAUUUUAGGAGUUUAUUAGUAACACUGUCUCAGUGUUAAAAAUGUCAACACUUUCAAAAGUGUUAGUUUAACACUUUACUGGUGGUAUCCAUAUAUACACUGGAUAAGUGUUAAUUUUAACUCUGAGAGAGUUAAAUUCACCCGUUAAAAUUUGUAGUGUACAACUACUUCGUUACUGCCCACCACUGUCUAACUCUAAAGAUCGCCAAAGUUUUACAACAAUUCAAUCAAACUGUUUUAAUUUUGGCACUACUUUUUUAAAAAACGUUUAC